CCCCACCUGCCCUGGGGCCUUCGGUCAUGUGGAAGUGCACGGGGCCUGCCUGGAAUUCGGACCUCACCACACAUCUUGUCUGCCACUUGCCCGGGCAGCCUGACCAGAUCACUUCAGGCAGGUUCAGUGCGGACAGAGGAUGGCUCACCAUGCCACCCUGGAGUACCUCCCCUCACCCCUCCAAGUAUGCGGAAAGCCCGCUGGAGAGGUGAGCCCCACGUCUGCUCCAGAAGGCGGUGAGACCGUCAGCUUCCCGAUGGCAGGCUUCCCAGGGCGUUGGCUAGAAACCCUCUGCUUUCUCAUCAGCUUUACUCCGAGCAUGUCUCAGCGCUGGACUGGGUCUGGGGGCAAGGUUGGCGGUGCUCCCCUGGGCCCCAGGGAGGAGGGCAGAGGCCUUAGACUGUGGCAGGGGUGAGGCCCGCCUGGCAUGGCCGUUGGAAAUCUGUGGCCGGGUUGCAGCGAGGUGACGGCUGGUUUCAUUUCCCAAGUUUCCGCCCUCUGCAGGCGGGGAUUACAUCAGACUCUACUUCAGAGGAGCUCUACACUGCCCUGGGCCAGCUGCCCCGCUGCAGCUUCGGGCUGGCCCAGGUCCUCCCGGCAGCCCUGGGCCCAGCGGACCGUCCUGGCCUCUGUAGUCUCAUUGGACAUGCUGCCUCCUGGUUGGCACUGCCCACCUAGCCCGCUCGGCCCGGCCAAGCCUCCCAAGACCACGCUGCCCCUCUUAUUCUUCCAAUCACCCAGCUCCGAUUCAUUCUCUCUUUAAAGAAGUCAAGGAAUGUUUCUCAAGAGGUGGCUUCAGCCUCAUACCUUUGAGAGAACUUGGUCUUCCGCCCGACACCGUCCCUGGGACCCAGGCCAGUCUGCAGAGCCAGGAACAGCCCCGCCACUUGUAAAACUCCCAUCCACCCGCUCUCAGGGACCCUGGUCAAGCAGCUACUGCAGGCCAAAGUUCCGUGCCUGGAGCUGGGAGUAAGCUAAGUUACCACCGCUUCCUCAGAGAGUUCCCAGGUUAGGGCCGGAUACAUAAACAGACAAUGUAACAACGGCAACAAAGAGCCAAGAAUCCUCUCCCUGCUGGGUACACCUUCCUCAGUGCUCUGUCUGCCCUUAACUCAUUUAAUGCGAAGAACAGACACAGCUCUGGUGCAGUGGGCGCUCACCCAGUUCUGUGCUGGGACCAUGCCCUGGGAGGGAGGCAUGUGCGUUUGACAGCUGAGGGGCGGGUUGAGGAUCUCAGCUUCCUUAGAGAACUGAAGAAACCUGCUCAAGGCCGUGUGUUUGCAGCUGGCCAGCUGGGGGACCCCCAUUCAUCUGGCCCCUGCUCUCGGGUUGGGGGGGAGCGGCGGGAGGUGUUCAUUCUUGCUCCCCGACCUGGUAUCGGGUUGGGGGACCCCUUGAGCCCCAGGAAGGACAGGUUCCUACAAAAGGAAGACCCCCAGAGCCACCCUAUUGCUGAGAGGACCAGCCUCCCAUCUCCUUUGUCACUGCCCACGUGUGGGCCCGUCCGUGGCUCAGACCCUGUGCCUUGGCAGGCCGCUUGGGGGGGCUUCCACUCACCCCCACGCCCCCUGCCAGCCUUGCUGAGCUGCUGCAGAUUGUUCUCCUUGUCGCCUGCCUGCUCCACCGUGCGGCGUAAUAAAUGGCUAACAGAGGGCCCCCAUUCUCUGGGACCGCCUUCUCCAUUUCUUGGCCCCUUCAGAGAACCUGAUACCCCCCUCCACCCCAGGUGAACCCUAUUCAGCAGGCUUCCGGCAGUGGUAACUAAGCCGGGCGCCCAGCCCACCACCUGCUCAGUACUUUAUAAAAGUUUAACCUUAAUGGUGUAAUGAACUCCCAUCAUAAAGCGGCUGGAGCAGUGCAUCCUGAGAUGUAUAAAUUACAGGCGCCUCUGAAGUUGUAAUUGGAAAUGGCAGCAAGGGGAAGGUUGAAAGGGGCCAGCCUCAUUGGGCUGAGCACAGAUAUUCUCUGCUGCCUUUCAAAAGGCACACAGAGCUGAGUCUGGCUGCGAAGAAAGAAUGUCCUCAGACCAAACUGAGCUCCUGGUAGCUCCACCCCAGUUCCCGCUUCCUGCCCCCCCAACCCCCGACCGAGUCCACAGAGCCUGUAGGUUUCAGGAGGCGCAACCCCCACCCAGACCGGGGCCACCAACACAGUGGGCCCAGAGGGAAGGAUGUGGGCGUGGACACAGCAGACAGCCCACCCCCCAGCCCCGCCUGCAUUUCCCGGGGAGCACUUCUGAGCAGUUGGGUUGACUCCCCUGGUCUCUGAGGUCUCACCUCUUGCCAUGAUUGUGGGGCUUGAACAGAAAACUGCAGGGGGUGUUGAGAGUUGGAGUGAGGAACCCGGGCUCUGGGGCUGGACUGUCCGGCUUCCUGUUGCAGCCCCUGCUGGUGGCACUUGGGAGACCUUAACAAUGUCACGUAACCUCACAGCUGCAGAAUCUUGGCUGUAAAAUCAGGAAUUGACCUGCAUCAGAGGAAUAUCAGAAGGAUGACACGGGAUGACGGGGUUCAGGUCUCAGCAAAGUGCCGCUUUAGGGACUUCCCUGGUGGUCCGGUGGUUGGGACCCCACGCUUCCACUGCAGGGGUCACGGGUUCCAUUCCCGGCUGGAGAACUAAGAUCCUGCAGAUUCCCUCUGAGGCCGAGUGGGGCCCAGACCUGCCCCCUGGGACGAGGCUCUCGGACCACACCUUGAGCAGCUGGGGCAGUGUUCAGGCCCUCAGAAGUGCUCGCUCAGUGCCUGCUGUGACUGCCCUUCCAGGCACGGUGCCCAGCACCUGCACUUGCCCACUACACUUGCUCACAGUGCCCACACCAGUUUAAUUUGAGUGCUUCUGAGUGUGGCCCAUGAACCAGUGGCAACGCCUGAAAACAGGUUAGAAAGGUCAGAAUCUCAGGGCGCCCUUCCCCACCCCCCACUAAAUCAGAAUCUCCGGAGGGGGGCCCAGGACUCUGCAGUUCGAGCAGCUCUGAGGUGCCUCCUCGGCUCACUCGGGGAAGAGAAGCAUGGCUGGGCCUCAUCCUCUCCAGGAGGGCAUCUCUCAAUGCCAGGAAGCUCACCCAGCCUCAGAAUCGCCUGGGGUUGACCUUGAUGGCCUUGAUGGGCUCAGCUGUAGGCUCC
ensembl:lncRNA